rnacentral:misc_RNA from 1 species
GAUGAAGAACGUAGCGAAAUGCGAUAAGUAAUGUGAAUUGCAGAAUUCAGUGAAUCAUCGAAUCUUUGAACGCACAUUGCGCCCCCUGGUAUUCCGGGGGGCAUGCCUGUUCGAGCGUCAUUUCAACCCUCAAGCUCUGCUUGGUAUUGAGUCCAUGUCAGCAAUGGCAGGCUCCAAAAUCAGUGGCGGCGCCGCUGGGUCCUGAACGUAGUAAUAUCUCUCGUUACAGGUGCUCGGCGUGCUUCUGCCAAAACCCCAACUUUUCUAUCGUUGACCUCGGAUCAGGUAGGGAUACCCGCUGAACUUAAGCAUAUCAAUAAGCGGAGGA